UAACCGUAAGUGAACCUGCGGAGGGAUCAUUAAUGAAUGAUCAUCCUUGAUCUUCUUACCCUCAAACCACUGUGAAACACAAGAUGUGCUUCGACGCCUCUUGGCGUCGCCUUUAUGCUCAAAAAAUGUCUUUUUUUUGUCUGAAGAAUCCAAUAUCAAAACUUUCAACAAAGGAUCUCUUGGCUCUC
rnacentral:misc_RNA from 1 species